rnacentral:sRNA from 1 species
UCCAUUUCGACGGGAACCGUCCCGACUC